UAAAAAUACUACAGUGUGCGUGUGACACUGUUUGUCGAACGACGCUUGCAUUUAGAUGUGAUCCUCGUUCUAGAUGAGAAAUAUAUUGCAACAGGUACCUUAGAGCAAUCCAAGGUAUACGGAUGUCGUGACCCGUUGUCACUGUUAGAGCGUUUAGCGACUAAGAAUGCUUUGACAGGGCCUGUAUGACAACUGUGGUUUCAUGUCAUUUGCAA
rnacentral:rRNA from 1 species